rnacentral:tRNA from 1 species
AGAGGUGUAGCUCAGUGGUAGAGUGCUUGCCUAGCAUACUGGAACUCAAAACCCUGGGUUCAAGCCCCAGCACCACAC